GAUGAACGCUGGCGGCGUGCUUAACACAUGCAAGUCGAACGAUGAAAGCGGGAGCUUGCUCCUGCUGGAUUAGUGGCGAACGGGUGAGUAACACGUGAGUAACCUGCCCUUGACUCUGGGAUAAGCGUUGGAAACGACGUCUAAUACCGGAUACGAGCUUCAGUCGCAUGACUAGGAGCUGGAAAGAAUUUCGGUCAAGGAUGGACUCGCGGCCUAUCAGCUAGUUGGUGAGGUAAUGGCUCACCAAGGCGACGACGGGUAGCCGGCCGGGGAGGGUGACCGGCCACACUGGGAAUGAGACACGGCCCAGACUCCUACGGGAGGCAGCAGUGGGGAAUAUUGCACAAUGGGCGAAAGCCUGAUGCAGCAACGCCGCGUGAGGGACGACGGCCUUCGGGUUGUAAACCUCUUUUAGUAGGGAAGAAGCGAAAGUGACGGUACCUGCAGAAAAAGCACCGGCUAACUACGUGCCAGCCGCCGCCGUAAUAC
rnacentral:rRNA from 1 species